UACAGAGGUCCCAAGCGUUGUUCGGAUUCACUGGGCGUAAAGGGUGCGUAGGUGGUGAGGUAAGUCGGAUGUGAAAGCUCGGAGCUCAACUCCGAAAUGGCAUUGGAAACUACCUUGCUCGAGGGUUGGAGGGGGACUGGAAUACUUGGUGUAGCAGUGAAAUGCGUAGAUAUCGUAAGGAAGACCAGUGGCGAAGGCGGGUCUCUGGACAGUUCCUGACGCUGAGGCACGAAGGCCAGGGGAGCAAACGGG
rnacentral:rRNA from 1 species